CCUACGGGAAGCAGCAGUGGGCGAUAUUGCACAAUGGGGGAAACCCUGAUGCAGCGACGCCGCGUGAGAGAGGGAGUAUUUCGGUAUGUAAAGCUCUGUCAGCAGGGAAGAAAAUGACGGUACAUGACCAAUAAGCCCCGGCUAACUACGUGCCAGCAGCCGCGGUAAUACGUAUGGGGCAAGCGUUAUCCGAAUUUACUGGGUGUAAAGGGAGCGUAGUCGGCAGGGCAAUCCUGAUGUGAAGUCCCGGGGCUCAACCCCGGGACUGCAUUGGGAACUGGUCUGCUGGAGUGGCGGAGGGGCAGGCGGAAUUCCUAGUGUAGCGGUGAAAUGCGUAGAUAUUAGGAGGAACACCAGUGGCGAAGGCGGCCUGCUGGACGGUGACUGACGGUGAGGCUCGAAAGCGUGGGGAGCAAACAGGAUUAGAUACCCUUGGAGUC
rnacentral:rRNA from 1 species